rnacentral:rRNA from 1 species
UACGUAGGGUGCAAGCGUUAAUCGGAAUUACUGGGCGUAAAGCGUGCGCAGGCGGUUAUGCAAGACAGAUGUGAAAUCCCCGGGCUCAACCUGGGAACUGCAUCUGUGACUGCAUUGCUGGAGUACGGCAGAGGGGGAUGGAAUUCCGCGUGUAGCAGUGAAAUGCGUAGAUAUGCGGAGGAACACCGAUGGCGAAGGCAAUCCCCUGGGCCUGUACUGACGCUCAUGCACGAAAGCGUGGGGAGCAAACAGG